rnacentral:rRNA from 1 species
CACGUAGGGGACGAGCGUUGUCCGGAUUCAUUGGGCGUAAAGCGCGCGUAGGCGGCUCGGAAAGUCGGGCGUGAAAUGCCGGGGCUCAACCCCGGGACUGCGUCCGAUACUUCCGAGCUGGAGGUAGGUAGGGGAGAUCGGAAUUCCUGGUGUAGCGGUGAAAUGCGGCAGAUAUCAGGAGGAACACCGGUGGCGAAGGCGGAUCUCGUG